rnacentral:lncRNA from 1 species
GAAAAGGGCCAAAAGCCACUUGCUAAUCUUGGCUAAUUAAAUUAUCAGCAAUAUUUUCUAAACUAUCAACAAGUUGUUAAUUACAUAAAUCAAAGCUGUUAGAGGGUAAGAUACUGCAUCAAACUUAAUGAUAUGAAUACAAUGGUGGCAUCAAAUUGAACAUAUUUAUUCUUGGUAAUUGGUAGGCUUUUCUAUUUAGAAUUUUAAAGUUGCCCAAAGUAGAGAGAUUCGCAUUCUAUUGUGGAUUUGCUUAAUAUCCAAUCCAUGGUUUCAAAUGCUAGCAUGCAAAAGGAGUCCAAUGCUAUUAACAUUAUUUUCAUUUUAUUAUUAUUGAAAUUAGAAAGAAAAUAUAUAAGAGUGUAAAGUUUGAAAAGCAAGUGUCUAUAUUCUUUCAAAAAAAAUGUCUAACUUAUUGUGAUGCUAUUAUACAAUCUUAUAUGAUGAAUAAAUUAAGAAUUAAUUGAACGAUGAUUACAAAUUUG